CUAAUACAUGCAGUCGAACGCGUUGGCCCAAUUGAUUGAUGGUGCUUGCACCUGAUUGAUUUUGGUCGCCAACGAGUGGCGGACGGGUGAGUAACACGUAGGUAACCUGCCCAGAAGCGGGGGACAACAUUUGGAAACAGAUGCUAAUACCGCAUAACAACGUUGUUCGCAUGAACAACGCUUAAAAGAUGGCUUCUCGCUAUCACUUCUGGAUGGACCUGCGGUGCAUUAGCUUGUUGGUGGGGUAACGGCCUACCAAGGCGAUGAUGCAUAGCCGAGUUGAGAGACUGAUCGGCCACAAUGGGACUGAGACACGGCCCAUACUCCUACGGGAGGCAGCAGUAGGGAAUCUUCCACAAUGGGCGCAAGCCUGAUGGAGCAACACCGCGUGAGUGAAGAAGGGUUUCGGCUCGUAAAGCUCUGUUGUUAAAGAAGAACACGUAUGAGAGUAACUGUUCAUACGUUGACGGUAUUUAACCAGAAAGUCACGGCUAACUACGUGCCAGCAGCCGCGGUAAUACGUAGGUGGCAAGCGUUAUCCGGAUUUAUUGGGCGUAAAGAGAGUGCAGGCGGUUUUCUAAGUCUGAUGUGAAAGCCUUCGGCUUAACCGGAGAAGUGCAUCGGAAACUGGAUAACUUGAGUGCAGAAGAGGGUAGUGGAACUCCAUGUGUAGCGGUGGAAUGCGUAGAUAUAUGGAAGAACACCAGUGGCGAAGGCGGCUACCUGGUCUGCAACUGACGCUGAGACUCGAAAGCAUGGGUAGCGAACAGGAUUAGAUACCCUGGUAGUCCAUGCCGUAAACGAUGAGUGCUAGGUGUUGGAGGGUUUCCGCCCUUCAGUGCCGGAGCUAACGCAUUAAGCACUCCGCCUGGGGAGUACGACCGCAAGGUUGAAACUCAAAGGAAUUGACGGGGGCCCGCACAAGCGGUGGAGCAUGUGGUUUAAUUCGAAGCUACGCGAAGAACCUUACCAGGUCUUGACAUCUUGCGCCACCCUAGAGAUAGGGCGUUUCCUUCGGGAACGCAAUGACAGGUGGUGCAUGGUCGUCGUCAGCUCGUGUCGUGAGAUGUUGGGUUAAGUCCCGCAACGAGCGCAACCCUUGUUACUAG
rnacentral:rRNA from 1 species